UUCUCUCUCUCUCUCUCUCUCUCUCUCUCUCUCUCUCUCUCUCACACACACACACACAGAGAGAGAGAGAGAGAGAGAGAGAG